UACAGAGGGUGCGAGCGUUGUCCGGAAUCACUGGGCGUAAAGGGCGCGUAGGCGGCCUGGUAAGUAGGGGGUGAAAUCUCGCGGCUCAACUGCGAGGCUGCCUCCUAAACUCCCGGGCUUGAGCACAGUAGAGGCAGGUGGAAUUCCCGGUGUAGCGGUGGAAUGCGUAGAGAUCGGGAAGAACAUCGGUGGCGAAGGCGGCCUGCUGGGCUGUUGCUGACGCUGAGGCGCGACAGCGUGGGGAGCAAAC
rnacentral:rRNA from 1 species